GGAGUGCUUGCACUCUGUGAAACAAGAUACAGGCUAGCGGCGGACGGGUGAGUAACACGUGGGUAACCUGCCCAAGAGAUCGGGAUAACACCUGGAAACAGAUGCUAAUACCGGAUAACAACAGAUGAUGCCUAUCAACUGUUUAAAAGAUGGUUCUGCUAUCACUCUUGGAUGGACCUGCGGUGCAUUAGCUAGUUGGUAGGGUAACGGCCUACCAAGGCGAUGAUGCAUAGCCGAGUUGAGAGACUGAUCGGCCACAUUGGGACUGAGACACGGCCCAAACUCCUACGGGAGGCAGCAGUAGGGAAUCUUCCACAAUGGACGCAAGUCUGAUGGAGCAACGCCGCGUGAGUGAAGAAGGGUUUCGGCUCGUAAAGCUCUGUUGUUGGUGAAGAAGGACAGGGGUAGUAACUGACCUUUGUUUGACGGUAAUCAAUUAGAAAGUCACGGCUAGCUACGUGCCAGCAGCCGCGGUAAUACGUAGGUGGCAAGCGUUGUCCGGAUUUAUUGGGCGUAAAGCGAGUGCAGGCGGCUCGAUAAGUCUGAUGUGAAAGCCUUCGGCUCAACCGGAGAAUUGCAUCAGAAACUGUCGAGCUUGAGUACAGAAGAGGAGAGUGGAACUCCAUGUGUAGCGGUGAAAUGCGUAGAUAUAUGGAAGAACACCGGUGGCGAAGGCGGCCCUCUGGUCUGUUACUGACGCUGAGGCUCGAAAGCAUGGGUAGCGAACAGGAUUAGAUACCCUGGUAGUCCAUGCCGUANACGAUGAGUGCUAAGUGUUGGGAGGUUUCCGCCUCUCAGUGCUGCAGCUAACGCAUUAAGCACUCCGC
rnacentral:rRNA from 1 species